rnacentral:rRNA from 1 species
GACGAACGCUGGCGGCGUGCCUAAUACAUGCAAGUUGAGCGAUGAAGAUUGGCGCUUGCACCAAUUUGAAGAGCAGCGAACGGGUGAGUAACGCGUGGGGAAUCUGCCUUUGAGCGGGGGACAACAUUUGGAAACGAAUGCUAAUACCGCAUAACAACUUUAAACAUAAGUUUUAAGUUUGAAAGAUGCAAUUGCAUCACUCAAAGAUGAUCCCGCGUUGUAUUAGCUAGUUGGUGAGGUAAAGGCUCACCAAGGCGAUGAUACAUAGCCGACCUGAGAGGGUGAUCGGCCACAUUGGGACUGAGACACGGCCCAAACUCCUACGGGAGGCAGCAGUAGGCAAUCUUCGGCAAUGGACGAAAGUCUGACCGAGCAACGCCGCGUGAGUGAAGAAGGUUUUCGGAUCGUAAAACUCUGUUGGUAGAGAAGAACGUUGGUGAGAGUGGAAAGCUCAUCAAGUGACGGUAACUACCCAGAAAGGGACGGCUAACUACGUG